rnacentral:rRNA from 1 species
UACGGAGGAUCCAAGCGUUAUCCGGAUUUAUUGGGUUUAAAGGGUGCGUAGGCGGCCUGUUAAGUCAGGGGUGAAAGACGGUAGCUCAACUAUCGCAGUGCCCUUGAUACUGAUGGGCUUGAAUGGACUAGAGGUAGGCGGAAUGAGACAAGUAGCGGUGAAAUGCAUAGAUAUGUCUCAGAACACCGAUUGCGAAGGCAGCUUACUAUGGUCUUAUUGACGCUGAGGCACGAAAGCGUGGGGGAUCAAACAGG